GUCUGUAAACAGUGAUCUCAUCCCUAAUCUUGCGCCGUCUUCCUUUAGCAUUAUCUCUUAGCAUGAGCGGCACACCGUCUCCACAGAAAUGACCGUGAACCCAAAUGUUUAUUUUUCCGUGUCCUUCCGAUCCGCCCGUUCUUUGACAUAAUGAUGAGUAGCUGGGGAUCUUUGAGUUAGCCUGGAGCAUGUUAGCAUGCUCAUUAUUAGCCUUGUAAAAAGGGGGCAAACAAGCAGCUGCCUGGUGCAAGCUCUGUUAAAGCUGCUUUUAAGUGUUUUCACUGGGUUUCCUGCUUGAAGAAUAAUGGAAGGCGUGCUUUACAAAUGGACAAACUAUAUGACAGGAUGGCAGCCAAGAUGGUUUGUGCUGGACAAUGGCAUUAUUUCAUACUAUGAUUCACAAGAUGACGUGUGUAAAGGUAGCAAAGGCAGUAUUAAGAUGUCAGUAUGUGAAAUUAAAGUUCACCCAACUGACAACACGCGUCUGGAGUUGAUCAUACCAGGAGAGCAGCAUUUUUACGUGAAGGCAGUGAAUGCAGCGGAGAGGCAGAAGUGGCUGGUGGCUCUGGGAAGCUCCAAAGCUGGACUCAUUGACACUAGAACCAUAAAAGAAAGGGAGUUAACAGAAACCACAGAAUCCCUGAAAACCAAGAUGUCCGAGCUGCGCCUGUACUGUGACUUACUAAUGCAGCAAGUGCACACUAUUCAGGAGUCAGUGGAACAGGAAGAAGAGUCGACAGUGGCCAGCACUGAGACGAGGAACGAGGCGUCCUCAUUACUGAGUGCCACCUGUGAAACCUUCAUCAAAACACUGGAAGAAUGUAUGAAAAUCGCUAAUUCCAAGUUUAAGACUGAUAUGUUGCAAUCCAGUCCGACUGAUUCCAUAAUGUCCCCUGUGUCUCCCUCUCCCGUCCAAAUGUCUCGGAUGAAGCGCUCAAUCAGCCAUCCUGGCACCUACAAUUAUGAAAGGUCAAGCUUGCCAAAAGAGAGCAUGGUGUUGCAGAAGUCCUCCCAGAGGCGGACACGGACAUGUUCUGAUACAGAAGCUCACAGCGACAGAGGGGCAGAGGAGACGGAGCGCUUGAUGUUCCACAGAUCCAACAUUAACGGUGACUCCACUCCAAGUAUCCCAGAAGAGGUUGGAACGAGCACAAAGUUCCUGUCGGAAACUGACACUCCGGAAUCUGACCUUUCCCUCUGAACCACGCGAGACGGCUUAUGAGACUCGUAACUCGUACUGCUAUGCAGUCAAAGAUUGCAGCGUUACAUACAGUAGAUGGAUUUUACAAAGUAUUGUUGUAUUUCCUGAUGAAGAAGAAUUCGGUGGCACUUUAUAAAAACAGAUUAUGAAGACAACAGUAGUCUGAUUCGAAUGUUUCUACCCUUCCAGCUGAUUGGAGAGCUCGAUCUCUGCCAGCCUCUGCUGGUUGAGCAGGAUCAGAUCUCGCGUGGUGUCGUGCUGGGCGAUGUCGGCCAGGUGGAGACCCCUCUCCUCCAGUUCCUGGAGGCUUCGUAGUUUAGGAGAGCACAGAUAGAUCAUGCAGCUGAGUGACUCCAUCCACAUCAUCUGCCCUAAAACACACAUACACGAAUGAAAAUGAAGUAUCAAAUGAUAUGAGGUAUACAAAUUAUGCGAAACAGUUGAAUGAAAACUUAUUUUACACAAGAAAUUAAAAAAAAACAUUUUGGAAUCAGCACAAAAGAACUUGAUUAAUCCAGAAUGUGCCCGUGUAGAUAAUCACAAAAUGGCACAAAUAUCAAGUGUAAUAAAUCUGUAUGUAUAAAAUACCUCUCAGUUUGAGUGUGGACUGGUUUUGGUGGAUCUCUGGUAACAUUUCCCUCCUGGUUUUCAGCACAAAUUGGCUGUUGAUGAACUUCUUGAUGCUCUGGAUGUUGAAGGUGACCUCUGGGUGAACAAUGGUGAAGUACUCAUCCAGACGGAUACCUGCGGUCUGCAGUCCGGGAACAAACUUCUGAAUGUUGACACCUGUUUGCUUCACCACCAGCUAAAACGACAAGAAAUUGUUCAAAACGACUGUGUCUUGAUGUACUUUAAUAUUUGAUAUCUGUUAAUGAAGGGAAAUGCAGAGUUUUACUUACAUCUUGAUCAAAAACAAUGUGAAAGGGAAAAGCAUGACAGAAGGCUUGUUCUUCAAUCCAAAGUCUUUUUGGGUAGCUGGGAGUGAACGAUUGUCGCAGAUUGCCUUAAUUUAGAAAAACACCAAUAUAAAACCCAUUAACUCAGGUGUUAUUUGAAUAAUGUCAAAAUAGGUACAUUUUAUGUUACAGUGGGGUUGUAAAAAGCACACGGAAAAUCCGGAAUUCUAUCAAAAUCUAUUUUUAAUAUGAAACACAUCUACGUAAUUUCUGGUAAAUUAGCAUGUGCUAUGUAGUGGCACAGUCAAAGGCAGAAACAGAGGCUAUGAAAAAGCUGUCAAACCUUGGCCCAACAUGACAAUGCUCCUCACAGUCUCCCAUGGAGAUCGUUUCCUUGGACACAGCUGCAGGCUGGCAUACCUGGCCUUCAUUCUCUUCAUUAUCUCUUCCUUGUCCUGUUGAUAUAUAGCAGUUGUCAUAGUUACAAACUUUCUCACGUUAGUCAUAAUUUCAGAAAUACAAAGACGGCAGACAGUUGAGUGUCUAGACCUUCUUAAACAUUCAAGAUGUCUAUACAAAAUGAAAAUGAUGGCGCCAAAGCAAGUAAAAUGCAAGAGACACUGAAACAAACCACUUAAAAAACUCAAACAUCAUAGACUUCAUAAUACAGUUUACAGAAACGAAUGACAGUCAAUUAUGCUCUGUCUUCCUCUCAGUGGGGACUUACACACCUGUUUCUCAGCCUGUAUUUCCUCAUUGCCGCCUUUCUGUCUUGGUUGAGCCUUUUUUUUGGACACCUUUUCCUUCUGUACCAUGUGGAAAACCACAUGUUCCUUCUUUCCAGUGCGCUCAUCCUCUUCUGACUGGUUUAGAAUGGUCAUUGUAACCUCACUGUCAAAGAAAUCCUUUGCCACAGCCUCGAUAAUACCUGCCCAAUGGUUAUGAAAAAAAAAAAAAACAGUAAUUGCUAAAUGUGCUAAUACAUAGUCCCAUACAGCAAAUAGUGCAAAUAUAUAUUUAAAUAUAUUUACAUUUUAUGCUGGAACUCUCACCUGGCACGAUGUGAUACAACCCUUUCCUAUCUGAGUAAUAGUGAAGGAGAAUUCGUCCAUCAUCCAUCCGCUCCACACGAAAGGACGGAGCAUUCAUGGCCUAAAAAAAGGCAUGCCGUGUUACAAACCACAGUAGAGUUCAUAGUUCCAUACUCUGCAAAAACUAACACAAAUGUCAUUUUUUCUAUGUAAAUAUUUGCUUGAUGGAUGUAUUUAGGAUUACAAAGAGACAAUGUGAAAUUUUAGGGAGUAUUAAAAUUAUCCUGACCUCAUAAGACAAUGCUAAAUAACUGUGUAGAGCAUCAAGAUUUUCAAUAAAUUCCACCAGGUUUCCACCGAGGGUUCGCAGCAUAGUGUCAUAUCCGGACAUCUUACAAAAGCUGAAAAAGUGCUCUCCAAAAAGCUUCAAAACCACCUCGGAAGAGAUAUCUAGAAGACGAAAUAAAACAACAUUUAAGUUUCAAAGCACAGCAAUUACUUUAAAGGAGUUGCUCAGAACCCCCAAAUACAUCACUUUCUCACCAGUGGAUCCUCUGCAGUGAAUGGGUGCCGUCAGAAUGAGAGUCCAAACAGUUGAUAAAGACAUCACAAUAAAUAAAGCAGAUCAAUUAACAUUUAGUGAAAUGUUGAGUGUUUGUAAGAAAUAAAUCCAUCAUCAAGGCAUUUAAACUAAGAACCAUUGCUUCUGACCUAAAUAUCCAUUAUGUAUAAUAAAGCUACCUCCAGUUAAAAAGUCCCAUUGUCCUUUCACAUCCAAAACCACCAACACAUUUGUAUUGAACUGUUUUCAGUGGUACAUGCCACUUGAUCUGUGGAUGUUUCUCUCUUAAUUCAGACAAGACAACUUUUGAACUGGAGAAAGUAAUAUUAUGGAGUAAGGACUCGUAUUUUCAUAAGAACAGUUUGAAGUUAAAAAUGUCUGAUGGAAUUAUAGUAUAAAUCACACUUUUUCCUUCACAAGGUGUUAACUGAUGGACUGGAAUUGUGUGGAUUCCUUGUGGAUUAUUUUGAUGUUUUUAUCAGCUGUUUGGACUCUGACGGCACCCAUUCACUAAAAAGGAUCCAUCGGUGAGUGAGUGAUAUUAUGCUACAUUUGUCCAAAUCUGUUCGAAUGAAGAAACAAACUCAUCUACAUUUUGGACAACCUGACGGCGGCUACUUUUUCAGCAAAUUGGCAAAAUUCAUCAUUUUUGGCUGAACCAUUCCAGUAAGACUGCAAUUCAGUUUCUCUUUACAAUUUUAAUUGCGCCCAGGUUGUUUUGGAGUUCAGGUGUGUGACCCACUCCAGAGAUUCACACCUGCCCUUGUCCACACAUUCUCAGGGACAGAUUGGAGGACAGGUUAGGACAUCAACCGUUGCGAUGCCCAGCAGACUAUUCUCAGCUGGGACAUUGUUAACACUCUCCCAGAUACUUUAAUCAAUGUCUGCAAGUCCCCAAAGACAUUGUGAAUACGACAUAACUUCGAGGCUUUCACAGUUUACUCUUCCUGUCUUUUUUCCUCAAUGCUUCACACAAUGACAGACAUUCAAAAGUGGAUCUAAACAAAAACAGGCCUUUUAAAGAAGUGAAACAUUCUGAAGAAUUAAACAAAGUCCCUAACCAACCAUUAAAGGAAGUACACAUGCAGACAGACAUAAGCCCAAGGGCAAAUAAAUACAUUCAGAUUUAAAAUGCCUUGGAGAAACAGAGUACAUUAGCAUCCUGAUUUGUACUACAAAAUACAAAAUGAUACUCACCCAGCAUUUUACAAGCCUCUUGCACUAAACGAAGAGUGAUGACAUCGUCGUAGAUUUCAUAGGUCAUAAAUGUAUCCUGGACACCAGCCAUUAAUCUGGGAAGGAUUUUAUUAGUUGAAACAAACCACAAAACCCAUCCAUGGUUUCUGUAAACAUUACAUGUGUAACACACCUCAGAUUUUCCCAUGUCUCUUCUCCGAACCUUUCAAUGACCAGUGACUUCAGACACGUAUUAAUAAAGCCGUACUGUGAAAAAAAAAAACAGUGUUAGUUAGAAAGUGCUGAAAUACAAUGUUGUAGAGAAAGCAUUUACAUUUUACAUUUAAGUGUUUAAUGAAAGAUUUUCAAUCAUUUAAGAUAAAAUAUCUAUCUAUCUAUCUAUCUAUCUAUCUAUCUAUCUAUCUAUCUAUCUAUCUAUCUAUCUAUCUAUCUAUCAUACACACAAUGUUUUGCACAUACCAUUUCUCCAAACCAGCUGUUAUGCCAAAGUUGUACUCUGUAUAUUAUCCACACUGAGCAGAAGAUGCUCUUUAAAUUGUGGUGUGUAGAUUAUGUAGUCUCAUCCAGAAAUAUCUACAUAUGCAGACACUCCCACUCAACCAUACUCUUUUACAUUAAUGCAUGCACACAAGUCAAGUCACCUUUAUUUAUAUAACGCUUUAAAUAAAAAAGACUGUGUCGAAGCAACUGAACAACAUUAAUUAGGAAACAGUGUGUCAAUAAUGCAAAAUGACAGUUAAAGGCAGUUCAUCAAUUAAUUCAGUAGACACAUACACACAUCCAAACAUAAAGACCUCAUUGCCCACUCAUUGGGGAACAGGGAUGCAUUUUAGUGUUUAAAGUUUGCAAAUAUAUGCAAACUUGAUGAGCAAUAUACUGUAUGUUCUCUCUUUGAUACUCUUAAACUGUUAAACCUGCUAAAUAGGCAGAGCAUGAAUUAAAUGCUUCCGACGUUUUUUCGAUGAUUUUGUUUGUUUGUUUGUUUGUUUUUAAUUGAAAAAUAUAGGGCCUGUCUUGUCUUACAGUGUUUAAAUACUUUCUCUUUCACCUUAUCCACCACGAUCAGAGUAUGUUGUUUGUGAUGGAAAAUAAAGUGCAUAACCAGUCUUAUAAACAAGUUUGCAGCAAAACACUUCAGACUAUGUGAAGGCACAUCUGUUUUAUUCAAUAUCGAUUUACCAAUGUCUUUGUGAUUUUUAUCAUGUAGCUGGUGUAACAGAUUCUGGAGAAACAGAUUCCGAGUACACACACACAUAAUUAUUUAAUUGUCCUCCUUAUUCAUACAUCAUUGAUUUAUUUAUUUAUUAUUUGCAACAGUUUUGUUUUAAGGCUAUACUUGUAAACUAUUGAUUGGUCACUGUGCUUUUUUUCUGUAGCUAGAAAUAAUAUCAGAUUUUGUUUUAGUUGUACCAUGUUUACCUAUCUCUUUGUAGCCCAUAUCUGUCAUGAUAAAAUGUUGCUGUAGCCUAUGUUUCUUUUUAUAUACACAGUAUGCUACAACUAAACAUUUUAUGUUUAAUAUUGCAGAAGGUGUUUAAGUAAUUUUUUCAUCUUGGAAAUGAAGAGGAUAAUAGAAAAAAAAUCUGAAAUAUUUGGAAGUUCAGGGAAACUUCCGUGGAAACCCCUCGAGUAACAUCCUGCAAUAAAAGCCGCAGCUAGUGCUCGAGUGUUUCAGUCACUGCUCUGGAGCAAGUUAGGGCAUAUACUUGAGAAAGCACCUUACGGUGCACGUUUAAGAGUUUAUAGAAGACCUUUGGACUUUUUAUUCCACCUUUUUACGGUUAAUUGUGUUGUGUGCAGUAAAAUCUCGUUUAAAAGUUGCGUGUGCUAACGGCAGAUAAAUAACGACUGACAGACAAACUAGGCGAAAUCAAGAAGACGAAAUCAAGAUGUUUUGCGAAUCUACUCUGUGGAGCAUCGGGUGUGACGAGCAUCUUCAUACAAAAAGUGAUCCCAUAUGCCUGGUGGAUAUCUCAUCAGGCAGAUCUGUGUCCACGGAGGACAUAAAUGGAGAAGGGUGGACAUCUGAAUACCAGAUGCCGUCCAAACAGGAUCACAGUGUCACCAGUAAACCACGAAUGACAGCCAGGAGCCGAAUCUUCCACUCUACAAAGUUCUGGACCUUCCUCCAGUUCAAGACAUCCACACGAGUAUGAUUGGACGUGUGACCCUCUGCUGUGUAAAAAAGGACUUGCACGUUGGAUAUAUUAACUUAUGUUAAUAUAGCAUUACGUGAAUUAUAUUUAUUAAGGAAAAAUUACAUGCUUGUUUUUUUAUGCACAUUAUUGUAUAUGUAAGAAACCUUUAAAAGGGGUUUUCUUUAAGUUUCCACUAGAGGGCAGCGAUAAGUCACUGCCACUGAAAUAAAACGUACAAGUGUUGACAAGG